GGCGACGUGGCCGAGUGGUUGAGGCAAGGGCCCGCAAAGCCCUGAACCCGGGUUCGAUUCCCGGCGUCGCCUCCA
rnacentral:tRNA from 1 species